GGCCUGGUGUUUACCACAGACUGUGUUCUUAUAUUGACUAUGUAGAAAGAGUAGGGGAAGUAAACCUUCCCCAUAUACACCCCAGCCCAGGCCCUAUGCCGGGUCUGUAUUGUGAAUGGGGAGGCAUAG
rnacentral:snoRNA from 1 species